UGGGGUGUAGCGCAAUUGGCAGCGCAUCCGGUUGUUACCCGGAAGGUUGGUGGUUCGAGUCCACCCGCCCCAGCCA
rnacentral:tRNA from 1 species